rnacentral:rRNA from 1 species
AGAUUGAACGCUGGCGGCAUGCCUUACACAUGCAAGUCGAACGGCAGCACGGACUUCGGUCUGGUGGCGAGUGGCGAACGGGUGAGUAAUAUAUCGGAACGUACCCUGGAGUGGGGGAUAACGCAGCGAAAGUUGCGCUAAUACCGCAUACGAUCUACGGAUGAAAGUGGGGGCUCGCAAGACCUCAUGCUCGUGGAGCGGCCGAUAUCUGAUUAGCUAGUUGGUAGGGUAAAAGCCUACCAAGGCAUCGAUCAGUAGCUGGUCUGAGAGGACGACCAGCCACACUGGGACUGAGACACGGCCCAGACUCCUACGGGAGGCAGCAGUGGGGAAUUUUGGACAAUGGGGGCAACCCUGAUCCAGCAAUGCCGCGUGAGUGAAGAAGGCCUUCGGUGUAAAGCUCUUUGUCUAGGAAGAAACGGUAGAAGGCUAAUAUCCUUUGCUAAUGACGGUACCUGAAGAAUAAGACACCGCUAACUACGUGCAGCA